rnacentral:ncRNA from 1 species
CACCGCCCGUCACACCCUGGGAAUUGGUUUCGCCCGAAGCAUCGGAACAAUGAUCACCCAGCACUUCUGUGUAACACUAGUCACACAAAGACUUUUGGUGGUCUUAUUGACGCAUACCACGGUGGGGUCUUCGACUGGGGUGAAGUCGUAACAAGGUAGCCGUAGGGGAACCUGUGGCUG